CAUUCUGUUAGAAGGGAUCAACUCUGUGAUAACAUUUAUGAAUUAUAGCUAGUUAAAUUCAAUGUGAUCAAGGACGAAGGUUUGUUGGGGAUUUUAAGCGCACAAUGCAAAUAUGUAUGCGUACUUGAAGACUAAUAAUUAUAUGCAUGAAUAACAAAGUAAGGAAACUGAGAUCGAUAUAAAUUGUUUAGUGUGGUCUCUUCGUGAUUAUGCUCGUUGGCAAGUAAUAAGUAAGCCUUAGAGACUUGAUGACUAUAGUGAAAUGUUCGACAUGGUUUGUGCGUUGCUUCAGGGCCUAAGCACGCCUUUGAAAACACGAGUUAUAGCAAAGUGUUCAGCACGUAGAAAUGAAACAUCUGCAAUGCCUUCUUGAGUUGCAUGAAAUUGGACUUAUCUUCGAUAGAGUUGAAAUGAGGCAAGAUGGCCCAAAUUUCAGUCUUAGCUGUUUUAAGUCUGAAUCUCGAGUUCAAGGGGUUCGUCCAUUCACUAUAUGUCAAUUUCAUGGAUAAGGGGGAAGAUUUCCUUGUAAACGAAUCAUGAUAGCACUCCGUGGGGUCUUUGUUCACUCUUCUUACUUUCCCAACUUCUAGAAGAAAAAAUAUGAAAAGAAAUGUGAACAAAAACGAUCUUUCCAAAGUUAAGGCAGCAAAUCUGAAGGACUUGGCAAAGAAUGUGCAAGGACCUCAAAAGUUUUACUCAAUUCUGUUAACGGCCUCUCUCUGGUUUCUUAUUUUAGCUCAAGCUUGGAGAGUUUUGAUACGUGAUGGUGAAUGCGGUCAAAGGAUUGUACCUAUCAUGUGAUAUACCUAUGGCUCAGUUUAUCAUCAAUAUGAAUGCUUCAUUGCCACAAUCACAAAAGUUCAUCAUACAUGUUUUGGACAAUACACAUCUGUUUGUUCGAUCUGAUAUGGCUGGAAUGAUUCGUAGUGCUAUUUCAGAUUUCAGAGACGCUAACACAUAUGAGAAGCCUGCUUAGUUCUGUUUGAUCGAUGAAGUUCAGCCAUCCCGUGUGUGCCUUGUUACCAUGUAAAAUAAUUCCUAGUAAAGAAGUUUACCAUUUUCGGAAAAAGGAACAUAUAGUAUGUCUCCUGUUGUUCGUUCUGAACUGAUUCGUCACUUUUGACAGAUGUACUUAUGGCUUUAGAUUUGAAGUUCAACCUUCAAUUUGGCAAAACUACAAGUGAUAUCAUAUUCUAUUUCUGGACA